rnacentral:rRNA from 1 species
AUUGAACGCUGGCGGUAUGCCUAACACAUGCAAGUCGAACGGUAACAGGUCUUCGGAUGCUGACGAGUGGCGAACGGGUGAGUAAUACAUCGGAACGUGCCUAGUAGUGGGGGAUAACUACUCGAAAGAGUGGCUAAUACCGCAUGAGAUCUACGGAUGAAAGCAGGGGAUCGCAAGACCUUGUGCUACUAGAGCGGCCGAUGGCAGAUUAGGUAGUUGGUGGGAUAAAAGCUUACCAAGCCGACGAUCUGUAGCUGGUCUGAGAGGACGAUCAGCCACACUGGGACUGAGACACGGCCCAGACUCCUACGGGAGGCAGCAGUGGGGAAUUUUGGACAAUGGGCGCAAGCCUGAUCCAGCAAUGCCGCGUGCAGGAUGAAGGCCUUCGGGUUGUAAACUGCUUUUGUACGGAACGAAAAGCCCCGGGUUAAUACCCUGGGGUCAUGACGGUACCGUAAGAAUAAGCACCGGCUAACUACGUGCCAGCAGCCGCCGUAA